AUGAGCCCCGGGUGCACCUGGGGUGCGCUGCUCCUCGCCGCUCUCCUCCUGCAACCCGCGCUCUCGUCGCCCGAUUUCCGUGUCGGCGCCCGGUUCGCCGUGCGUCUGCCCGGAGCCUACCAGCCGGGCUUCGCCCAGCGGACCACGGUGCUCGAGGCGGCCGGCAAGCGGGAGCCCCGCUUCGCCGCCGCCGUGAGCGUGGAGGCCGGCACGGGGGGAGGGUACCUGUGCUCUCUCGUCGUCCUGCUGGCCAACGUCACGGUCUGGGCUUCGGAUCGUUCCGACCAGGAGUUCGCGGCGCGGGCUGUCUGCCAGCUCGAGCUCACGGAGGACGGGCAGCUGCGGCUGACGGACGGCGCCAGGGCCGUUGUGUGGUGGUCCGGAACGGCGGGGCAGGGCGCCAAGGCUCUGCACUUGGAUUCCAAAACCGGCAACCUCCGUCUCCUGGACGACAAGAAGCAUACGGUAUGGCAAAGCUUCGACAAGCCCACGGGCAAACUCCUGCCGGGCCAGUGGCUCCGGCUGCCCUCCUACUUCACCGUGUCCCCGGCGAAGAUUUCUUCGCCAUUCUACAGCCUCGAGCUCGACGGCGACAAGAUCGCCGCCUACAUCUACUUCGGAGAGCGAAAGUACUCCUACUGGGAGCUGACCCCCAGCAGCAACCAGGCCAUGGCGUUCGCGGGAAUGGACGAGUCGGGGCUGACGAUGUACGACGGGCGGCGGCGACCCGUCGCGAAAAUCUCGCCGGCGGUGAACAAAGGGUCGGUCAGGUUCCUGGCGCUGGGAGACGACGGCAGCCUGGGGCUCUAUGCCUACGACAGCCGUCACGGGAACUUCACGCCCUCGUACGAGGCGCUCGCGUUCUGCGACCUCCCCCUCUCCUGCGGCGUCCUCGCCGUCUGCUCCCUCUCCGGAAGCUGCCGCGACUUCGCCGCGCGCGGCGUCCGGCCGGCGCAGGGCGGCACCCUCUGCAACGCGACGGCGACCAGCUCCGGCGACGCCCACGACAUGGUGGAAGUGAGGGGCGUCACCACCGUUCUCAGGGCCGACUCGCCGGUCACCAACGUGACGGUGCAGCAGUGCGCGGACCAGUGCCUGCGCGACUGCUCGUGCGCCACCGCGCUCCACGUGAAGGACGACGGCGUGGCCGGCAGCGGCGUCUGCUCCCACUACGAGCUGACGGCGGGAGCGAGGGAGGUGAUCGGCGGAGGCGAUGGCCAGGGGCACAGCUACUGGGUGAAGGUUGUCAAGGGGAGCAAGAGCAACUGCCGGGAAGACGAAGAGGAUUACAAUGCCAAAAACGAGGCGCUCACCAAGAUCCUGAUCAUCUUCGGCGUAGUGGAUGUGAUCGGCCUGCUCUUGUUCGGCGGGCUCUGCGCGUACUUCGUCUGCCUUCGUGGGCGCACCGCCGACGAGCAUGUCUGUGAAGAAGAUGGAGAAGCAGAAGCAGCAGGCCGCGACAGAUCGCAAUGCUAA
rnacentral:rRNA from 1 species